GUUGUUAUAUAGAAACAGGCAGAGUACAGGUACUAAACAGGUAAGAGACGUUGUUGUUGUUGUUAUAUAGAAACAGGCAGAGUACAGGUACUAAACAGGUAUGAGACGUUGUUGUUGUUGUUAUAUAGAAACAGGCAGAGUACAGGUACUAAACAGGUAAGAGACGUUGUUGUUGUUAUUAUAUAGAAACAGGCAGAGUACAGGUACUAAACAGGUAAGAGACGUUGUUGUUGUUAUAUAGAAACAGGCAGAG